CGCAUCUGUGCAUGCAGCAUAUCAAUAAGCGGAGGAAAAGAAACUAACAAGGAUUCCCCUAGUAACGGCGAGUGAAGCGGGAAGAGCUCAAAUUUGAAAUCUUAAAGGGUUUCCCUUUACGAAUUGUAGUUUAAAGAAGUGUUUUCUGUUGAGGUUUUGGUAAAAGUUCUUUGGAAUAGGUCAUCAUAGAGGGUGAGAAUCCCGUAUUUGACCUUUACUUUCAACUUUGUGAUACACUUUCAAAGAGUCGGAUUGUUUGGGAAUGCAGUCCAAAAUGGGUGGUAAAUUUCAUCUAAAGCUAAAUAUUGGCGAGAGACCGAUAGCGAACAAGUACCGUGAGGGAAAGAUGAAAAGAACUUUGAAAAGAGAGUUAAACAGUACGUGAAAUUGUCAAAAGGGAAGCGUUUGACACCAGUGUUGUUUUUCUGAAAAUCAAUUAAAGAACUGUUUAUGCUAAGCUGUUUAGACUUUAUCAGCUAACUGUUUAGUUUUGAGCUUUUCUUUAAUGCACUUUUCAGUUAACAAGUCAACAUCAAUUUCUUUUGCUGUAAAAAAGCUUGAGGAAGGUGGCUUGAGAUUCGUCUUAAGUGUUUAUAGCCUCUUGCCUAUGCAGUCGGAGAGAUUGAGGUCUGCAGCGUAGAUCCUUCGGGGCUAAAUAGCAUUUGUGCUAAGUUAUAGCAUUUUAUAGACAACUUGUUGACUAUGAUUUGUCUUGUAGCUUACUCGCUUAUGUUAUUUUACCUACGCUUAGGAUGUUGAACGCGCACAGAGUCU
rnacentral:rRNA from 1 species